UAACAAGAAAUUUAGGUUAAACACUUAAACCAAGAGCCUUCAAAGCCCUAAACAGGAGACCCAAACCCCCUAAUUUCU
rnacentral:tRNA from 1 species